UAAUACUCAAAGCUUAUAGUAGCACAUGCAAAUCACUUCACUCCUGCCUUGGUUAUUUCCGGAAUAAUUCCAUAAGUGCACACAAAGUACACAAAUACGAAACAUGAGUUCACCUUGAGUGGACAUCUGCAGAUGCAGCUCUAAAUAAAAUCGAAUCCCUCAAAGAGCAAAAGAUAUGCUUUAAGCUGCUUUUUGUUGGCUCAAUGAAUGGAAUGUUUGGGUUUGUGUAUCAAUUGAAUCGAUCGCCCGCCGACAGCUGACGAUGCCAUUCAAGAUGGGAUUUGCAAACUCGACAAAUAAACGAACAAAAAUGUUGCAUGGAUAAUGAGGCACUAAGGAUUUCUGUUCAAAGGAUUUAAUGUCCUGGACUUGAUUGUGACAUCCUGGACAAGAGGAUGGCCGACUCGAUGGCCACCAGGAUGGCUGCCUGUUGCCCCCCCUCGGAUCCUGGCCAGCGUUAAUGCAGUUUUUCCUGGCCCUCGUCCUGGAACAAUGAGGCUGCCUCGCCUCGCCUCGGCUGCCGGCAAGUGGCAAGUGGAAAUGGAGUGGCCUCCGGGGAGGCCAAAGAAGAGGACUGGGAGAGGGAGUGGUCGUGCCCCCACGUUGACGGGUAAAUGAAAUUACGGCCGCGCUGUCGCGUCAGAGGAGAAGGACAAAUCCCUUUAAAUAAAUCCUGGCGUGAAAACAGAACAGAAAAAAAAAAACAGAAGCAAAAAAAUACAGAAAUGAAAUGGGUUACAACCGAAAGCGAGAAAAGACGAAAUGAAAUUAAAUUUAAAUUAAUUGCCAUGAUUUGUUAGGUGUGAGCGCGUUCAGACAUUCCCACAAAAGGAUAUAUGUAUGUAGGCUGGCUGGCAGGACCCACCCGGAGUACAUAAAUCAUAGGAGCAGCUUACAAAGGUUAAUUAGGUUGCCCCGCCAAGGGGCCUUCUCAUUCAUUUCAUUUCUUAAAAAGCGCGUUUUAAAGCCACUCCUAGGCACUUAUCCUGGCGAGGAUGUGAAGACUCCUUCUCAAACAAGGAGGGUGAUAUGAUACCUGGUACUCUUACACU